CCUAUGACCUCAGGUCCUCAGACCGACCAGCCCAAGAAACAUCUCACCAAUUUCAAAUCCGAUCUUCUCGGCUUAGCGGCUGAAGACUGACACUGCCCGAUCGCCUCGGAAGCCCCCUAGACCAUCACGGACGCCGAGCUUCGAGUAACUCUCACAGUGGAGGAAGGCAGGAAUGUCAGGCCUCUGAGCCCAGGCCAGGCCAUCGCAUCCCCUGUGACUUGCACGUAUGCAUCCAGAUGGCCGGAAGUAACUGAAGAUCCACAAAAGAAGUAAAAACAGCCUUAACUGAUGACAUUCCACCAUUGUGAUUUGUUCCUCCCCCACCCUAACUGAUCAAUGUACUUUGUAAUCUCUCCCACCCUUAAGAAGGUUCUUUGUAAUUCUCCCCACUCUUGAGAAUGUACUUUGUGAGAUCCACCCCUGCCCACCAGAGAACAACCCCCUUUGACUGUAAUUUUCCAUUACCUUCCCAAAUCCUAUAAAACUGCCCCACCCCUAUCUCCCUUCGCUGACUCUCUUUUCGGACUCAGCCCACCUGCACCCAGGUGAAAUAAACAGCUUUAUUGCUCAC
rnacentral:lncRNA from 10 species